AGCCCCAUGGCGCAGUGGAAGCGCACCGGGCCCAUGACCCGGAGGACCUCCGAUCGAAACGGAGUGGGGCUA